AAUUAUUCACGGUCGCGUUACUAUUUUUAUUUUUAAUUUUUUUUUUUAAUUGCUCGAUAUAUCCGGAAUUAGAGUCAAAGCACCACUGAAGAGGAGUCUUGGGCGUUGCUCCAUAAGGAAAGAGUAUGAAUUUUUUUAUUUUGCCGAGUUCCUGGAUAUCCUGAUGAUGGCUUUCUUCACGACUUCCGUCUUGAUGAAUCUUCUCCUACAAGGCAGCCUCCUACCUGGUGUUGUCCAUCCUUCUACUUGACUGUCGGA